UACGAAGGGGGCUAGCGUUGUUCGGAAUUACUGGGCGGAAAGCGCACGUAGGCGGAUAUUUAAGUUAGGGGUGAAAUCCCAGGGCUCAACCCUGGAACUGCCUUUAAUACUGGGUAUCUCGAGUCCGAGAGAGGUGAGUGGAAUUCCGAGUGUAGAGGUGAAAUUCGUAGAUAUUCGGAGGAACACCAGUGGCGAAGGCGGCUCACUGGCUCGGUACUGACGCUGAGGUGCGAAAGCGUGGGGAGCAAACAGG
rnacentral:rRNA from 1 species